AUUACCGAGUUUACAACUCCCAAACCCAAUGUGAACGUUACCAAACUGUUGCCUCGGCGGGAUCUCUGCCCCGGGUGCGUCGCAGCCCCGGACCAAGGCGCCCGCCGGAGGACCAACCAAAAACUCUUUUGUAUACCCCCUCGCGGGUUUUUUAUAUCUGAGCCAUCUCGGCGCCUCUCGUAGGCGUUUCGAAAAUGAAUCAAAACUUUCAACAACGGAUCUCUUGGUUCUGGCAUCGAUGAAGAACGCAGCGAAAUGCGAUAAGUAAUGUGAAUUGCAGAAUUCAGUGAAUCAUCGAAUCUUUGAACGCACAUUGCGCCCGCCAGUAUUCUGGCGGGCAUGCCUGUCCGAGCGUCAUUUCAACCCUCGAACCCCUCCGGGGGGUCGGCGUUGGGGAUCGGCCCUUUACGGGGCCGGCCCCGAAAUACAGUGGCGGUCUCGCCGCAGCCUCUCCUGCGCAGUAGUUUGCACACUCGCAUCGGGAGCGCGGCGCGUCCAUUGCCGUAAAACACCCAACUUUCUGAAAUGUUGACCUCGGAUCAGGUAGGAAUACCCGCUGAACUUAA
rnacentral:rRNA from 1 species